AGAGUUUGAUUCUGGCUCAGGACGAACGCUGGCGGCGUGCUUAACACAUGCAAGUCGAACGAUGAAGCCGCUUCGGUGGUGGAUUAGUGGCGAACGGGUGAGUAACACGUGGGUAAUCUGCCCUGCACUCUGGGAUAAGCCUUGGAAACGAGGUCUAAUACCGGAUAUGACACACGGAGGCAUCUCCUGUGUGUGGAAAGUUCCGGCGGUGCAGGAUGAACCCGCGGCCUAUCAGCUUGUUGGUGGGGUAGUGGCCUACCAAGGCGACGACGGGUAGCCGGCCUGAGAGGGUGACCGGCCACACUGGGACUGAGACACGGCCCAGACUCCUACGGGAGGCAGCAGUGGGGAAUCUUGCGCAAUGGGCGAAAGCCUGACGCAGCAACGCCGCGUGGGGGAUGACGGCCUUCGGGUUGUAAACCUCUUUCGACAGGGACGAAGCUUUCGGGUGACGGUACCUGUAGAAGAAGCACCGGCUAACUACGUGCCAGCAGCCGCGGUAAUACGUAGGGUGCGAGCGUUGUCCGGAUUUAUUGGGCGUAAAGAGCUCGUAGGCGGUUUGUCGCGUCGGCCGUGAAAACCUGCAGCUUAACUGUGGGCGUGCGGUCGAUACGGGCAGACUUGAGUUCGGCAGGGGAGACUGGAAUUCCUGGUGUAGCGGUGAAAUGCGCAGAUAUCAGGAGGAACACCGGUGGCGAAGGCGGGUCUCUGGGCCGAUACCGACGCUGAGGAGCGAAAGCAUGGGGAGCGAACAGGAUUAGAUACCCUGGUAGUCCAUGCCGUAAACGUUGGGCGCUAGGUGUGGGGGUGGGUUCCACCGUUUCCGUGCCGUAGCUAACGCAUUAAGCGCCCCGCCUGGGGAGUACGGCCGCAAGGCUAAAACUCAAAUGAAUUGACGGGG
rnacentral:rRNA from 1 species